AAACAUGUCUUUUUGGGAAUAAUUUAAAGUUUAAUUUGCCCACUGAUNAAUUUAUUAAAGGGCUGCAGUAUUUUGACUGUACAAAGGUAGCAUAAUCAUUAGUCUCUUAAUUGGUGACUUGUAUAAAAGAUUGGAUGAGAUAUAUACUGUCUCUAUUUAAUUUAUAAAAUUUAAUUUUUUAGUAAAAAAGCUAAAAUAAUUUUAAAAGACGAGAAGACCCUAUAGAGUUUAAUAAUUUAUUUAAUUAUUAUUAAUAUGUAAAUUUUAAAAUUAAAAUUAAUUAAAUUAUUUUGUUGGGGUGAUAGAAAAAUUAAAUUAACUUUUUUUUUAUUUUUAACAUUAAUUUAUGAGUAGGGGAUCUAUUAAUAUUGAUUAAAAGAAAAAAUUACCUUAGGGAUAACAGCGUAAUUUUUUUUUUUAGUUCAAAUAGGAAAAAGAGUUUGCGACCUCGAUGUUGGAUUAAGAUAAAAUUUAAAUGCAAAAGUUAAA
rnacentral:rRNA from 1 species